GUAGUAGUUAUGUCUUGAAACCCAAAGAAUUUGGCGGUGUUUUAGUCCUUUCAGAGGAAUCUGUUCUGUAAUUGAUAAUACACGAUUUAUGUAACUUGAUUUUGUUAUCAGUUUAUAUACCGCCGUCAGUAAGAUUAUCUUGUUGAGAGUAUAAAAUUUCAUUAUAUUUAUAUAUAUAUAUGUUAUGUCAGGUCAAGGUGUAGCUAAUAGUCAAGUAGAGAUGGAUUACAAUAAAAAUAUUUAUAUGGAUAAUAUUUUGAAUAAUUUAUUUGAAGGUGGAUUUGAUUGUAAAUUAAUAUAAAUUGAUUAAUUGAUUAGGGCUCUAGAAUGUGU
rnacentral:rRNA from 1 species